CUCCCAUAUUUUCUCAAGGUGAGUAAUAUUUUAUAGGGCCAUGAGGCCAUCACAAAACAAUCUGAACGACUUGAUCAGGCUCUAAACUUCUCCAUAUAUUAUCUGAUCUCUCUCUCUAUAUAAGAACCACAAAAGCUUCUUCUCUUAGUUACGCUUUGCAUUGUUUGAUUCACUUUGGCUCUCUCCUGAUCUGAGUUAAACUAGCUACUCGAUUAAAUCCCUUUGAUCAAACCGUGAGAAAGUUACAAAACACUAAUCCUUGCAACCAUAAAUGACAAAAGGUGUUUCUAGUUUCUCUCCAUCGACAGUGUUUCUCCGGCCAGUUCUCAACGUCGACACAACGUCUUCUCCUUCUCCAGAGAUUGUUCGAAAAAGAUACCUAAAAUGGCCUCUAUGGAUCCGAGAAAUAAUGGUGACGCUGCUCCGCUAAAUGAGCGAGAGAGGUCAACAAAUUUGGGUGUUGCUGAAGAGGUGCAUGAUGAUCAAAGUGUGGUGUCUCAUACAUCCAACGAUUCCGACCUUCAGAAAAAGAUGAUGAAGAAAAGAGGAGAAGAAGAAGGGUGGCUGGACAAACGCAAUCAUUUUGCUUGAAAAUCAAGGGUUAGCGACUUUGGCCUUCUUUGGGGUGGGAGUGAACCUGGUGUUGUUCCUAACACGUGUUAUGGGACAAGGUAAUGCAGAGGCUGCGAACAAUGUAAGCAAGUGGACGGGAACAGUUUACAUGUUUUCUCUCGUGGGAGCGUUUCUUAGCGACUCUUAUUGGGGUCGUUACUUGACUUGCACCAUCUUCCAAGUCAUCUUCGUUAUUGGUGUCGGCCUCCUCUCAUUUGUUUCUUGGUUAACUCAUUUAGGGGUGUCCGAAAGCUUCUUUAAGCUCAACAUCGUUUCGGACCUUUAGGGAAUGUGUGUCAAUGAAUUAUGAGAUGGCUAUUGAAAAAGCAUAGUCUUUGUUAUUAGGACACGUUUGAUAAUUUGAUAUUAUAGCAGAAGAAGUUGAAACAAGUCAUGGAAUCUGUAUAUAUUAGUUGCAGAAAAUCAAUCAAUCAAAUCAGCAAAAUGCAGAGCAGUUCAUGUCUAAUGUCUUGUUGGUUUGUUUUUACCGCAGGUCAAAGGGGUAACUCAAGGAACUCGGAUACACAUAGCAAAUGGUUUUCAAAUUCUGAGAGGACGAGAGAAUCAUAAUCCCAUAGUUUCUGACAUUUCAUGUAAUAAAGUGUCCCAAAGCAAACAUUAGUUGAUGCAGAGUGAACGUUUGAGAAUUGUCCAUUUAGAUUUCAUGUCUGUGUUUUAACUUAGCUCUUGCGCUUGGAGGAAGAUCCAAACUCAAGCAGUAUAAUUUCUCAACUUGGCUUAGA